UUCCGGUUGAUCCUGCCGGAGGCCAUUGCUAUCGGAGUCCGAUUUAGCCAUGCUAGUUGCACGGGUUUAGACCCGUGGCGAAAAGCUCAGUAACACGUGGCCAAGCUACCCUGCAGACCAGAAUAACCUCGGGAAACUGAGGACAAUCCUGGAUAACGCUCCCCCACUGGAAUGUGGGGAGCCGGAAAUGCUCCGGCGCUGCAGGAUGCGGCUGCGGCCGAUUAGGUUGACGGUGGGGUAACGGCCCACCGUGCCCAUAAUCGGUACGGGUUGUGAGAGCAAGAGCCCGGAGACGGAAUCUGAGACAAGAUUCCGGGCCCUACGGGGCGCAGCAGGCGCGAAACCUUUACACUGCACGCCAGUGCGAUAAGGGGACUCCGAGUGCGAGGGCAUAGAGCCCUCGCUUUUCUGUACCGUAAGGUGGUACAGGAAGAAGGGCUGGGCAAGACCGGUGCCAGCCGCCGCGGUAAUACCGGCAGCCCAAGUGAUGGCCGAUAUUAUUGGGCCUAAAGCGUCCGUAGCCGGCCGGACAAGUCCGUUGGGAAAUCCGCACGCUUAACGUGCGGGCGUCCAGCGGAAACUGUCCGGCUUGGGACCGGAAGACCCGAGGGGUACGUCCGGGGUAGGAGUGAGAUCCUGUAAUCCCGGACGGACCACCUGUGGCGAAAGCGCCUCGGGAAGACGGAUCCGACGGUGAGGGACGAAAGCCAAGGUCUCGAACCGGAUUAGAUACCCGGGUAGUCCUGGCCGUAAACGAUGCCCGCUAGGUGUGACGCAGGCUACGAGCCUGCGCUGUGCCGUAGGGAAGCCGUGAAGCGGGCCGCCUGGGAAGUACGUCCGCAAGGAUGAAACUUAAAGGAAUUGGCGGGGGAGCACUACAACCGGAGGAGCCUGCGGUUUAAUUGGACUCAACGCCGGG
rnacentral:rRNA from 1 species